UACGUAGGGGGCUAGCGUUGUCCGGAAUCAUUGGGCGUAAAGCGCGCGUAGGCGGCCCGGUAAGUCCGCUGUAAAAGUCCAGGGCUCAACCCUGGAAAGCCGGUGGAUACUGUCGGGCUCGAGUCCGGAAGAGGAGAGUGGAAUUCCUGGUGUAGCGGUGAAAUGCGCAGAUAUCAGGAAGAACACCUAUGGCGAAGGCAGCUCUCUGGGACGGUACUGACGCUGAGACGCGAAAGCGUGGGGAGCGAACAGG
rnacentral:rRNA from 1 species